GUGGGGAAUAUUGGACAAUGGGCGAAAGCCUGAUCCAGCCAUGCCGCGUGUGUGAAGAAGGUCUUCGGAUUGUAAAGCACUUUAAGUUGGGAGGAAGGGCAGUAAGUUAAUACCUUGCUGUUUUGACGUUACCGACAGAAUAAGCACCGGCUAACUUCGUGCCAGCAGCCGCGGUAAUACGAAGGGUGCAAGCGUUAAACGGAAUUACUGGGCGUAAAGCGCGCGUAGGUGGCUUUGUAAGUUGGAGGUGAAAUCCCCGGGCUCAACCUGGGAACUGCCUCCAAAACUGCAUGACUAGAGUACGGUAGAGGGUAGUGGAAUUUCCUGUGUAGCGGUGAAAUGCGUAGAUAUAGGAAGGAACACCAGUGGCGAAGGCGACUACCUGGACUGAUACUGACACUGAGGUGCGAAAGCGUGGGGAGCAAACAGGAUUAGAUACCCUAGUAGUCC
rnacentral:rRNA from 1 species